UACGUAGGGAGCGAGCGUUGUCCGGAAUUACUGGGUGUAAAGGGAGUGUAGGCGGGAAUGCAAGUCAGAUGUGAAAACUAUGGGCUUAACCCAUAGACUGCAUUUGAAACUGUGUUUCUUGAGUGAAGUAGAGGUAAGCGGAAUUCCUAGUGUAGCGGUGAAAUGCGUAGAUAUUAGGAGGAACAUCAGUGGCGAAGGCGGCUUACUGGGCUUUUACUGACGCUGAGGCUCGAAAGCGUGGGGAGCAAACAGG
rnacentral:rRNA from 1 species